GUUACUCCUCAUAUUUGUUUUCGUUUUUUCUUGCAGGAGCGCGGUGUUUUUUACACAGAGAUUUCCGUAACCCAAGCCACAGAAAGUUCCGUCUCUUGCGUCGUUUAGUCAGAAGAGGAGAACCCUGGAAGUCUGUAACUCAUUGAAAUCCUUCUUUGAUAAGCCUUCGAUAGGGAGGUAUUUCGUCCGAGGGUCUUCAGUCUUUUUAGGGUUUUUUAUUUUGAUGACCUCAAGAAAAAAGUUCUAAGUCCUAUGAAAUAAUAUUUGCUCGUUCGCAGGUCUAUAGGUACAGACAAAAGGAAAAAAAAACAUAGAAAGAACAGAAAAUAAGCCAUGGGCAUUGCGGAAGAGAAACGAAACAGAGAUGAUAACGUCCCCAUUAGCGGCGAAAGUGAGGAAAGACAUUUUGAGGGAGAAACUAGUGAAGAACCAUAUUUGGAACGCGGGACCGGAAGUGUAUGUAGUGCAAGCGAUGAGAUAAAGCAGUCAGAUAUCCGCGGUUCCCUCCAGGGUUAGUUUUAAGGUCUUAGGAUUUUAUAGUAUGGAUUAUAGAACUCUAUAUGUGCUUGUGUUAGAAAUUUUGGUUUAUUAGAUUUAGGGAGAGAGGGUUCUCGCGCUGAAAGUCAGCCCUCCCAAAUUUACCGCGAAAAUGAGGAGAAAAGGAGAAUAACCACUGUACUUUUCUUGUUUUCGAAUCUUCGUUGGUGGCCUUGCCCGCGACACGACAGAAGAGGCUUUCACUGAUUAUUUCAACAAAUAUGGAGAAAUUAGUGAUUCAGCAAUAAUGAAGGAUAAACAUACUAGAAGGCCACAGGGGUUUGGAUUUGUUACAUUUGCUGACCCAGCAGUUGUGGAGAAGGCUUUGGAAAGACGGACAUAUUAUUGAUGGCAGAACAGUAGAAGUGAAGAAAACAGCCCCAAAAGGGGAUAUGCAAAUGCAAGUUAAAGUGGAGCAGAUAACCAGAAAGGUUUUUGUUGGUGGAAUACCCCCAUCUUUCACCGAAGAUGAGUUGAAGGAAUAUUUUUCUUCAUAUGAUUCCAUUGUUGAGCACCAGAUCAUGUGGGACCAUAGCACCAGACUGUCACGAGGUUUUGAUUUCGUCACAUUUGAAGAUGAAAAUAUUGUCGAAGAGAUCAUAUCUGAGGGAAGACCACAUGAACUUGGGGGCAAACAGGUGAACCGUAAAAUCAAGAUAGGAAUACAUUCUAGUGAUUGGAACUAACCUGGAGAAGGGUAUGAUACAAGAGCUCAUAAUGGUGGUGUUUCAACCUCAUAUGGGGAGUUUGGCAGUCAUGCAGUAGGAUAUAAUGCUGGUUAUAUAUUUGGUGGAGGGUAUGAUGGAAGAAUGACAGGAGGGUAUUAUGCAGGAUAUGGCCUAGGCUAUUAUGGGUAUGGUGGAUCCAUGUACUAUGUAGAGGCAUAUGGGGGGCCACUUGAUAUUGGUGGUGCUGGUUGUUAGGGUGCAUAUGGGAGUACUGCUGCUGUCAACGGAAGGUAUCACCCAUAUGGAAAGCGAGACAAUUUACAGAAUACAGGUACAAAACCUAUGGUUACUCAUGACGCAUAAAAGCAGAAGUUAUCAUCUAUGUGGAAGGAACUAUUUUGAGUAUCAGUUGGAUGUCUUGUUCUGAUUCUCAUGAAGCAUACACAUAGUCCUUUUCUUCUUGGGGUUCUGUAUGUCCAACCUCAAGUCUUGAUGUCACAAUUAGAAUGCUCCAAUUUUUUUUUUUUUUUCAUAUUUUGUGAAUGGUGUAAUUGUUGGGUUUUCUUUUUCUUUUUGUUCAGUUGACAAGUAGAUACAAGCGACUGAUUAUAGAUUAUAAUUGCAGAAUUUAUCAAUGCAAAAUUGCAAAAUGACGGGGUUUUCAUAAUGUUAAUCAAGUUCAGUUUGGAAGGAGUGCAAAU